rnacentral:rRNA from 1 species
GACAGAGGUGGCAAGCGUUGUUCGGAUUUACUGGGCGUAAAGCGUACGUAGGUGGUUAGAUAAGUCUAUUGUGAAAUCCCUUCGCUUAACGGAGGAACUGCAUUAGAUACUGCCUGACUAGAGGAUGGGAGAGGAGAGUGGAAUUCCCGGUGUAGCGGUGAAAUGCGUAGAUAUCGAGAGGAACACCAGUGGCGAAGGCGAGUCUCUGGACGACUCCUGACACUGAGGCACGAAAGCUAGGGGAGCAAACAGG